rnacentral:tRNA from 1 species
GGGGUCGUAGCUUAAUGGUAGAGCAACUGCUUUGCAAGCAGGAGGUUGGAGGUUCAAAUCCUCUCGAUUCCACCA